CCGAGUUAAAACGUAACAUCGGUAACCCGUCUGUUUACCGCCGAGCUCAUGGCGGGAGAAAGAAAGGCGUUUGUGUGAGAAACUGGGACCUUAUCGCGGAGGUUUUUGGUGACCUUUUGCUGAGACCACUGAACUCUGCUUUGGUUCAAGUGAUGUUCCAAAGGCUCUGUAGUUAAUGUGAAUGUGGCAGUGUAAGGGGUGUUCAGUAGCUGUUAAAAGAUGAUGACAUUGAUGUGGGAAGGGAAUGCAUUCUCAAGGGGCUGUGUGUUUACCUCAGUGAGGACCCGGUCAAUCUAGUGAGGGAGUACGUGCAGGAAGAUGAAGCCCUGAUCCAAGGAGCUCUUGAGGACACCACGGUGGGGAUAUGUGUUCUCAAACAAAGAGACACACCAGAGGACAUUGGGAUCGUCCUGGAAGGCCAGAUCGUGAUGCAAGACCUUGACAAUGUUGCAUUAGCUGCUGCGAUGCUCUUUGGUCUCAUGUAUGCACUCAACCUGAACUAUCCCCCUGAACUGAAGUACUUUUUCGAAGUGAUGCAGAAAAUUGUCAUGGAGCUGGAUGGCACCACAUACUCUAAGAAAGCCCAGGCUCUCAAAAACAGACUCUACGAGUGAGUUUUUGCCAGGUAAUGGCAAAACGGACAAAAUGCAGCUUCCAGGGUUUGCAAAAAAGCGGAAGAAUUGUUAGUAUCCAUAAAGACAUUGUUACAGGACUUUGGAUAAGCACUUACACAACUCACAUGCACUGCCUUUAUGUGUGUUUUUCUGUGUUAAUUUGUGACAUGUGUAUUGUGUUGUUUUCAGAAGAUUGUCGCACCUUGGGUCCUGUGUUCACAAAUGUUGUCUAUUAUUGUUGUUUACAAAUACCCUCCUUGAAGUACUGAAGUGGUUCACUGUACUAUGGUACUCUUUAGAAGUUACUCCUGGGUCAUGUGUUAAAAAAUGUUAUUCUUUUAUUCAAAUGGCUGUCAGAUAUGCAGAUGUGCCUUUAACUAGUGGAGUCGCAACAACAGAUCUGUUUUUGUCAUUUUAGUUCCUUUUUGUUUUUCUUAAUUGUGUCAUGUUCUAGGCAUUUUUUGAAGCAGAGAUGUUGCUGUACA